rnacentral:misc_RNA from 1 species
GAUGAAGAGCGCAGCGAAAUGCGAUAAAUAAUGUGAAUUGCAGAAUUCAGUGAAUCAUCGAGUCUUUGAACGCACAUUGCGCCCCCUGGUAUUCCGGGGGGCAUGCCUGUUCGAGCGUCAUUUCAACCAUCAAGCCCCAGGCUUGUGUUGGGGACCUGCGGCUGCCGCAGGCCCUGAAAACCAGUGGCGGGCUCGCUGUCACACCGGGCGUAGUAGAUUUUAUCUCGCUCAGGGCGUGCUGCGGGUUCCGGCCGUUAAAAAGCCUUUUUUACCCAAGGUUGACCUCGGAUCAGGUAGGAAGACCCGCUGAACUUAAGCAUAUCAAUAAGCGGAGGA